AGUGGCGGACGGGUGAGUAACGCGUGGGUAACCUGCCUCAUACAGGGGGAUAACAGUUGGAAACGGCUGCUAAUACCGCAUAAGCGCACAGUACCGCAUGGUACGGUGUGAAAAACUCCGGUGGUAUGAGAUGGACCCGCGUCUGAUUAGGUAGUUGGUGGGGUAACGGCCUACCAAGCCGACGAUCAGUAGCCGACCUGAGAGGGUGACCGGCCACAUUGGGACUGAGACACGGCCCAA
rnacentral:rRNA from 1 species